GUCAGCUGAGAGCUGCCUCCAGCACAGUCUUGUAUCUAUACAACCUGGCGUUUGGCCGUGGCUUCCAGGACAGGCUGGAUGCAGAGUGAAGUCCUCUCCUCACUGUCAAUGUUUGCAGAUGUCUUCUUAUAAACUUCAUUUUCUUGAGACUUUCAAUUAGGUUUUUACUUAACUGGACUUUUAAAAUUGCCAUGCACAUAACUCUACCAGUUACAAUCUUGAGCUAAC
rnacentral:lncRNA from 1 species